UACGUAGGGUGCGAGCGUUGUCCGGAAUUAUUGGGCGUAAAGAGCUCGUAGGCGGCUUGUCGCGUCGGAUGUGAAAGCCCGGGGCUUAACUCUGGGCGUGCGGUCGAUACGGGCAUCACUAGAGUUCGGCAGGGGAGACUGGAACUCCUGGUGUAGCGGUGAAAUGCGCAGAUAUCAGGAGGAACACCGGUGGCGAAGGCGGGUCUCUGGGCCGAUAUUGACGCUGAGGAGCGAAAGCGUGGGGAGCGAACAGG
rnacentral:rRNA from 1 species